AAAAAAACUCCGCUAUUGAGCUGGCGAUGGAGGGCAGAGCAGACGUGUACAGUUUUCGGCUGUGACCCGUUGUGCGCCGCCCGGAAGGACAAGUGCCGCAUCCGGAUAAAGAUGGCGCCUCCCACGCCGCUCUUGGCAGUACGAGGAUCUGAAGGACUCUAUAUGUUGCACGGGUCACCUCAUUUUACAGAGCAUACAACAUUUCAAAGGGAUUCUGGGAAAAAUACAAAAGUGUUUACUUUCAGCAGAGAUGGAUCAUUUUUUGCAUUGGGCAAUGG